rnacentral:rRNA from 1 species
AACGAACGCUGGCGGCAGGCCUAACACAUGCAAGUCGAACGCCGUAGUAAUACGGAGUGGCAGACGGGUGAGUAACGCGUGGGAACAUACCCUUUGGUUCGGGAUAACUCAGGGAAACUUGAGCUAAUACCGGAUACGUUCGCGAGAAGAAAGAUUUAGUCGCCGAAGGAUUGGCCCGCGUCUGAUUAGCUUGUUGGUGUGGUAACGGCGCACCAAGGCGACGAUCAGUAGCUGGUCGAGAGGAUGAUCAGCCACAUUGGGACUGAGACACGGCCCAAACUCCUACGGGAGGCAGCAGUGGGGAAUAUUGGACAAUGGGCGCAAGCCUGAUCCAGCCAUGCCGCGUGGGUGAUGAAGG